CCUUAUGAUUGCUCAUAGUUUGCAAGAUAAUUGGAGGAAAUCGUCUGAAUUUGGAGAGGCUUGAUUUUCUACCUUCUCAUUGUCUGGUAAUUGUUUUGAUUUCUGCAAGGAAUAGGUGAUGAAUUUGGCAAGGAAAGGGUGAUGUGUAUGUGUGUGUGUGGGGGGGGGAUGAUGUUGUCUACCCAUGCCCUCUCUCCCUGUCGUCAUGUCCUCUCUCACGCCUCUCCCUCUUUAGCACCAUGUGGGCAUUCAAAAAAAAUAAAGUGGAAGGUGGGGGUUGGGCGAUAUGCUAAGAAGAGAGUCAAUGCCUUACUCCCACAUAUUCUUCCACCAACACCCCUGUCAAUGCCUUGCUGAAAUUUUCUGCAGGUUAGAGUUGGAGUAGGGCGAUGAUGGUUUUCCAUGCCUCCUCUUCUCCUCACCUCUCAUCCUCAAAACCCCUCUAUGAUUUUGUUCUCUCCUUCCAGGCAAUCAAAUCGCCUUUCCUCUGUUUAUUUUAUUUAAGUUUGCCCAUAUCAAUAUCGGGUUAUGAAAACUUAGCAGUAUGGUUUACUGAUUGUCCUUGAA